GAUGAACGCUGGCGGCGUGCCUAAUACAUGCCAGUCGAGCGAACAGACGAGGAGCUUGCUCCUCUGACGUUAGCGGCGGACGGGUGAGUAACACGUGGAUAACCUACCUAUAAGACUGGGAUAACUUCGGGAAACCGGAGCUAAUACCGGAUAAUAUAUUGAACCGCAUGGUUCAAUAGUGAAAGACGGUUUUGCUGUCACUUAUAGAUGGAUCCGCGCCGCAUUAGCUAGUUGGUAAGGUAACGGCUUACCAAGGCAACGAUGCGUAGCCGACCUGAGAGGGGGAGCGGCCACACUGGAACUGAGACACGGUCCAGACUCCUACGGGAGGCAGGAGUAGGGAAUCUUCCGCAAUGGGCGAAAGCCUGACGGAGCAACGCCGCGUGAGUGAUGAAGGUCUUCGGAUCGUAAAACUCUGUUAUUAGGGAAGAACAAAUGUGUAAGUAACUAUGCACGUCUUGACGGUACCUAAUCAGAAAGCCACGGCUAACUACGUG
rnacentral:rRNA from 1 species